rnacentral:rRNA from 1 species
UGAACAUGCAGUCGAACGGGAAAGGGGGCUUCGGCCUCCGAGUACAGUGGCGGACGGGUGAGUAAUGUAUGAUCAAUCUGCCCGGAAGACCAGGAUAGCCGCCCGAAAGGGCGGGUAAUACUGGAUAAGCCCACCGGGAGGCAUCUCCCGGCGGGAAAAGGAUGGGGAUCUUCGGACCUUUCGCUUUCGGAUGAGAUCAUAACCUAUCAGUUUGUUGGCGGGGUAACGGCCCACCAAGACUACGACGGGUAGCCGGCCUGAGAGGGUGUACGGCCACACUGGAACUGAGACACGGUCCAGACUCCUACGGGAGGCAGCAGUGCUGAAUUAUUCGCCAAUGCGCGAAAGCGUGACGGUGCGACGCCGCGUGCGGGAUGAAGGCCUUCGGGUUGUAAACCGCUGUCAGGGCAUAGAAAACCGGUGCGGUUAAUAGCCGUACCGCUGAUCCUGCCCAAAGGAAGCACAGGCUAAUCUCGUGCCAGCAGCCGCGGUAAUACGAGAUGUGCGAGCGUUGUUCGGAAUCACUGGGCAUAAAGGGUGCGUAGGCGGUGCGCCAAGUCGGGUGUGAAAGCCCUCGGCUUAACCGAGGAAUCGCAUUCGAUACUAGCGCGCUAGAGGGUAAAAGGGGCAAGCGGAAUUCUAGGUGUAGCGGUGGAAUGCGUAGAUAUCUGGGAGAACGCCGAGGGCGAAGGCAGCUUGCUGGGUUACUUCUGACGCUGAGGCACGAAAGCUAGGGGAGCAAACAGGAUUAGAUACCCUGGUAGUCCUAGCCGUAAACGAUGAGCACUUUGUUCCGGAGGGCCUGAUCCUUUCGGAGCCGUAGCUAAUGUGUUAAGUGCUCCGCCUGGGGAGUAUGGUCGCAAGGCUAAACUCAAGGAAUUGACGGGGGCUCACACAAGCGGAGGAGCAUGUUGUUCAAUUCGAAGCAACGCGAGAACCUUACCUGGGCUUGACAUGCAUUCAGUAGAAACCCGAAAGGGGACGACCCGUAAAUCGGAGUUUGCACAGUG